rnacentral:tRNA from 1 species
GAUGAGGUGGCUGAAAACAGGCGAUAGAUUGUAAAUUUAUUAAUGAGUAAAUACUCCUUCAUUA